UACGUAGGUGACCAGCGUUGCCCGGAUUUACUGGGCGUAAAGAGCGCGCAGGCGGUCGUUCAAGUCGAGUGUGAAAGCCCCCGGCUCAACUGGGGAGGGUCACUCGAUACUGAUCGACUUGAAGGCAGGAGAGGGAAGCGGAAUUCCCGGUGUAGUGGUGAAAUGCGUAGAUAUCGGGAGGAACACCAGUGGCGAAGGCGGCUUCCUGGCCUGUUCUUGACGCUGAGGCGCGAAAGCUAGGGGAGCAAACGGG
rnacentral:rRNA from 1 species